ensembl:lincRNA
UUUUUCAACUGAAUGGUUCCAAUUGCACUCUCCAGUUUCCUCUGGUUAUUCCUGUAGGUCAUUCUUCAGAAUUACGUGAUUUUAUUAAAUUACUUGCUCCUAGGAACCUCCUCUUUUUAGAGUUCGCAUUUGCACAAUCAAAUUCAUAACUGACACAUGAGUCAAAUACGGUUCUAUUGAGUGUGACCUGAUAUUUUCUUAGCACCAUAAUGCCUACAAUUCAAGUUGCUAUUAAUAACCUUCACUCCAACCCUUAUUCUAUACUUACUCCCCAUAUUGUACCUACUCUAAGUUGAAAAACCAUCAACAAAGUAAUUUUAAAGUCUUUAAUGUUUUCAAAUGUCUUUGAUUCUCUCCAUCAGGUGAAAGAUUUUUCCUGGCUGCCACACUCACUCUCCCCUCAUUGCAAAUUUAUCAUGAGCACUGUCUCUUCCAGCCUGUCCUACAAGUCGUUGUGUGCCCGCCCGGAUGUGAGGACAGUGGAACUCAUUAGCACAGGAGAUGAAGAAACAAAAUUAAACAUCUUUAGAAAGCAUCUCUCCAUUCCCAUGAUGGACCCCUUCCAACAGAGCACACAGGCGUUGAGGAAAAAACCAGACCUGAGUCCUUUAAAACUCACAAUCCUAGCCAAUGAAUUGAAAGAAUGUAGAAUCAACCACAAUGAGUUUCAGUGUAUGAAGGAAUACUUGGAGGCUGUCUCUGUUCAGGAGCUCUGGGAAUUGGUUCUCAAACGCUGGAUUGAAGACUACAGUUGGAUGUUUCAACCCAAAAGGGCAAAUUCAGACACUGUGGCUUCAGGAGAAGGACUGGACAGCUGGGUGGCCGACACUCUGUGCUUACUGUGCCUGUCGCAUGGUGGCUUGGCUGAGGAUGAGCUACUCCAGCUUUUGGACAUGCUGGGCUACAGGAAUCAUUACAAAGUGACCGCCUUGCACUGGGCUGCCUUCCGCAAUGCCACCAAACAGUGGGUCCAGGAGAAGCCCAAUGGCCUCCUGUAUUUCUGGCACCAGUCCCUGCGAAGUGCAGUGGAGCACAAGCUUCUUGGUAAGUAA